rnacentral:rRNA from 1 species
GUGAACCUGCGGAAGGAUCAUUACCGAGUGUAGGGUUCCUAGCGAGCCCAACCUCCCACCCGUGUUUACUGUACACUUAGUUGCUUCGGCGGGCCCGCCAUUCAUGGCCGCCGGGGGCUCUCAGCCCCGGGCCCGCGCCCGCCGGAGACACCACGAACUCUGUCUGAUCUAGUGAAGUCUGAGUUGAUUGUAUCGCAAUCAGUUAAAACUUUCAACAAUGGAUCUCUUGGUUCCGGCAUCGAUGAAGAACGCAGCGAAAUGCGAUAACUAGUGUGAAUUGCAGAAUUCCGUGAAUCAUCGAGUCUUUGAACGCACAUUGCGCCCCCUGGUAUUCCGGGGGGCAUGCCUGUCCGAGCGUCAUUGCUGCCCAUCAAGCACGGCUUGUGUGUUGGGUCGUCGUCCCCUCUCCGGGGGGGACGGGCCCCAAAGGCAGCGGCGGCACCGCGUCCGAUCCUCGAGCGUAUGGGGCUUUGUCACCCGCUCUGUAGGCCCGGCCGGCGCUUGCCGAACGCAAAUCAAUCUUUUUCCAGGUUGACCUCGGAUCAGGUAGGGAUACCCGCUGAACUUAAGCAUAUAAA